UCACGCCUUGCCAAGAUCAUUCUUGGGAGAAACAUCAGGUCGCUAAAGGUUUCUCCCUUUCCCCCUCUCUUAAAAGAUAUUUGUAUAAUUCUUCCAACAAUAAUUCCUCUAUAGGAGCAGGUUGGUCUUGGUUUCAAUGGUUGAUUUCCAAUGAAAAGGGAGCCACAGCUGAUAUUUCCGCUUUGGCUCAAUUACGAGGAGUCCAAAGUUGGCUGUUUAAUGUUUCUGGCAGUACCUAAGACUCGGAGCGAGGUAGGAGGCUUAAAAUUUCUGCAAAUAAUUCACAAUUAUCUAAUGCUACAUUACCCUCCACAGCAGUCUGUCUCCAAUCUCCGUUCCUGUUUAUUUUGGCUAAUGAUACAUCACAGGGGAUGCUUAAUUGUUCUAAUGUUACCUGUUAUUUGUCUGAGUGUUGGAAUGGCUCCUUGA
rnacentral:lncRNA from 1 species